rnacentral:rRNA from 1 species
UACGUAGGGUGCAAGCGUUGUCCGGAAUUAUUGGGCGUAAAGAGCUCGUAGGCGGUUUGUUGCGUCGGCUGUGAAAUCCCGAGGCUCAACCUCGGGUCUGCAGUCGAUACGAGCAAACUAGAGUGUUGCAGGGGAGACUGGAAUUCCUGGUGUAGCGGUGAAAUGCGCAGAUAUCAGGAGGAACACCGAUGGCGAAGGCAGGUCUCUGGGCUGACACUGACGCUCAUGCACGAAAGCGUGGGGAGCAAACAGG